UCUCUCUCUCUCUCUUCGAAUCUGUGUAAUUUUAUUUUUUUUUGAGUAAGGAUUUGUUCGAGAAAUUGUGUGGACUGUAAGUAUUUCUAGUGGGGUUUGUUAGGCAACUGAGAAUUUUAGUUUUUUCGAGUUAGGGUUUGAUCUGGGUAGAAUUAAUGGACUGUUAAUGAUCUGGGAAUUUUUUUGGAGUCUGUAUAUAUUUUUUAAUCUCUCUCGAUUUAUCGAUCUGGAGCUCUCUAUAUAGUAGGGUUCUUUACUAUUUCUUUUGAUUUUUUCCGCUGGUCCUAAAUCUUAUGUUUGUUGAAGGGGUUCAACUUGUUGCUCCUUGUACAGAGAAAUUAUAGCAGGCUUAUGAUUGAAUCUGUCCAUUUCUUCAUUUACAAUACAUACGUUUUAAGAAAGUUGUAACUUGUUUUCCUACCAAACUUUGUCUCUGGUGAUCAAUUUUGGGUCCUAACAUAGGAAAAGAGUUGGUUAAAUACUAAGAAUUUGAAUCCCGUCUGAUUUGUUUUCCUUUUCCUUUCACGCUAUAUCUUACUUUUCCGCUGAUGUUAUGUCUACUGGGCGGGAGAGAAAAGAUCAAAAGUUGCAUCAAAGUGCCUUGAACUGGAAUAUGCAUUUAGAAGCUGAAAUGGAGUGAUGCCUUUCAAAUUGUAAAUGAGCAAGGAUGGUGCUGACCGUGCUGCUAUCUCCAGGCUAAUCUGUGAACAUGUGAGAGCAUGCUUGUGUGGUUGAAGGAACAUGACCCCCUCUCGUGACAAUAUUAGGCUAUGUAAUGCUUUGGUCCAAGGCUAUCCCCUUGCCCUGGCUCCUUCUUGGUUGGUUAACUGCCAAAAAAAGAAAGAAAAAUAAUUUGCAUCCAUGUAAUGUUGGGACCUCUCUGGUCAUUGUACUUAACCAUGCAAUUGUGUGAUUUGUACAGAAUUUGUAUGUGACACCUCAUAAUUUACAUCUCUCUUCAGAAAGUUUUGAUCUU